AUUGAACGCUGGCGGCAUGCCUUACACAUGCAAGUCGAACGGCAGCACGGGAGCAAUCCUGGUGGCGAGUGGCGAACGGGUGAGUAAUAUAUCGGAACGUGCCCAGUCGUGGGGAUAACGUAGCGAAAGCUACGCUAAUACCGCAUACGAUCUAUGGAUGAAAGCGGGGGAUCGCAAGACCUCGCGCGAUUGGAGCGGCCGAUAUCAGAUUAGGUAGUUGGUGAGGUAAAGGGCUCACCAAGCCGACGAUCUGUAGCUGGUCUGAGAGGACGACCAGCCACACUGGGACUGAGACACGGCCCCAGACUCCUACGGAGGCAGCAGUGGGAAUUUUGGACAAUGGGCGCAAGCCUGAUCCAGCAAUGCCGCGUGCAGGAUGAAGGCCUUCGGUUGUAACU
rnacentral:rRNA from 1 species